rnacentral:rRNA from 1 species
GCAAGUCGAGCGGAACGAUGCCUAGCUUGCUAGGAGGCGUCGAGCGGCGGACGGGUGAGUAAUGCAUAGGAAUCUGCCCGGUAGUGGGGGAUAACCUGGGGAAACCCAGGCUAAUACCGCAUACGCCCUACGGGGGAAAGCAGGGGAUCUUCGGACCUUGCGCUAUCGGAUGAGCCUAUGUCGGAUUAGCUAGUUGGUGAGGUAACGGCUCACCAAGGCUGCGAUCCGUAGCUGGUCUGAGAGGAUGAUCAGCCACAUCGGGACUGAGACACGGCCCGAACUCCUACGGGAGGCAGCAGUGGGGAAUAUUGGACAAUGGGCGAAAGCCUGAUCCAGCCAUGCCGCGUGUGUGAAGAAGGCCUUCGGGUUGUAAAGCACUUUCAGUGAGGAAGAAAGCCUUGAGGUUAAUACCCUCGAGGGAGGACAUCACUCACAGAAGAAGCACCGGCUAACUCCGUGCCAGCAGCCGCGGUAAUACGGAGGGUGCGAGCGUUAAUCGGAAUUACUGGGCGUAAAGCGCGCGUAGGCGGCUUGAUAAGCCGGUUGUGAAAGCCCCGGGCUCAACCUGGGAACGGCAUCCGGAACUGUCAGGCUAGAGUGCAGGAGAGGAAGGUAGAAUUCCCGGUGUAGCGGUGAAAUGCGUAGAGAUCGGGAGGGAAUACCAGUGGCGAAGGCGGCCUUCUGGACUGACACUGACGCUGAGGUGCGAAAGCGUGGGUAGCAAACAGGAUUAGAUACCCUGGUAGUCCACGCCGUAAACGAUGUCGACUAGCCGUUGGGCUCCUUGAGAGC